rnacentral:rRNA from 1 species
UUCCUUUAGUAUAUAUUUAAAGGUAUUGCCUGCCCUAUGUUAAAAUAAAUGGCUGCGGUAUCUUAACUGCACUAAGGUAGCAUAAUUAAUUGUCUUUUAAAUGGUGACCUGUUUGAACGGCUUAAUGAGAAAAAAAUUUUCUUCUAAUUAUAAUAAAAUUAUAUUUCAAGGUUAAAAUACCUGAUUAUAAAAAAAAGACGAGAAGACCCUGUUGAGUUUUACAUUAAUAAUAAUGUUAAAAUGGGAAAUUUAACCUUUUUCUAAGGUUUAGUAGAUCCUGGAAUAAUAUAUUUUGGAUAUAGGAUAAAGUUACCACAGGGAUAACAGGACAAUAUUUGCUAAGAGUUCUAAUCGAAGUAAAUGGUUGUUACCUCGAUGUUGAAUCGAAAUAUCUUUUUGAUGCAGCAGUCAAAAAAGUGGGUCUGUUCGACCUUUUAAAUUUC